rnacentral:precursor_RNA from 1 species
GCAGUGGUGGUUCAGUGGUCUGCUGUUAGUGUGAUUCACUACAGCUUUCUGAAUCCCAGCGA